ACUCCUACGGGAGGCAGCAGUGGGGAAUAUUGGUCAAUGGAUGCAAGUCUGAACCAGCCAUGCCGCGUGCAGGAAGAAGGCCCUAUGGGUUGUAAACUGCUUUUGCCAGGGGAUAAAAUUUCCUUGCGAGGAAAAUUGAAGGUACCUGGUGAAUAAGCCACGGCUAACUACGUGCCAGCAGCCGCGGUAAUACGUAGGUGGCAAGCGUUGUCCGGAUUUAUUGGGUUUAAAGGGUGCGUAGGCGGUCAUAUAAGUCAGUGCUGAAAUAUCCCGGCUUAACCGGGAGGGUGGCAUUGAUACUGUAUGACUUGAGUAAAGUUGAGGUUGGCGGAAUUGACGGUGUAGCGGUGAAAUGCUUAGAUAUCGUCAAGAACACCUAUUGCGAAGGCAGCUAACUAAGCUUUAACUGACGCUGAGGCACGAAAGUGUGGGGAUCAAACAGGAUUAGAUACCCUGGUAGUCCACACUGUAAACGUUGAUUACUCGCUGUUGGCGAUACACAGCCAGCGGCUUAGCGCAAGCGAUAAGUAAUCCACCUGGGGAGUACGCCGGCAACGGUGAAACUCAAAGGAAUUGACGGGGGUCCGCACAAGCGGUGGGGCAUGUGGUUUAAUUCGAUGAUACGCGAGGAACCUUACCUGGGCUAGAAUGCCCUUGAUUGCCUCAGAGAUGAGGAGUUCCGCAAGGACAAGGAGCAAGGUGCUGCAUGGCUGUCGUCAGCUCGUGCCGUGAGGCGUUGGGUUAAGUCCCGCAACGAGCGCAACCCUUAUUUUUAGUUGCCAACAGGUUAAGCUGGGGACUCUAAAAAGACUGCCCGCGCAAGCGGAGAGGAAGGAGGGGAUGACGUCAAGUCAUCAUGGCCCUUACGCCCAGGGCUACACACGUGCUACAAUGGCGUAUACAAAGUGUUGCCAGCCAGCGAUGGCGAGCCAAUCACAAAAAGUACGUCUCAGUUCGGAUUGCAGGCUGCAACUCGCCUGCAUGAAGUUGGAAUCGCUAGU
rnacentral:rRNA from 1 species